rnacentral:lncRNA from 1 species
UUGAGCAUUGACCCACCAACCGUAGUAUCUCAUCGGAAAUGACUUCUCCUAUGAUGAAUAUCGGACUCAAGGCGGUGGCUCUUCCCUCUCCGAGGUGACAAUGUCAUUGGUAAGUCGGCUAUUGAGUCCAAUGUGAUAGAGAAAUCUUGAGCAUUGACCCACCAACCGUAGCAUCUCGUCUGAAAUGACUUCUCCUAUGAUGAAUAACGGACUCAAGGCGGUGACGCUGGUAGAAACGCUAAGGUUAGCCACCAUUUGAUACUCCUCCAAGGAGGGUAUGCACCCUGAAUGCCUCCAUUCUGCUUCCUUUCCAUGCAGUGACGCCAAUUCCUCCCACUCAUAAGAAUGAAAGAAAGAAAGCAAAUACAGUUCUAGCUAUGUUUUGCGGUCUAAAAAACAAACAUGAAUCAAAUGAAGCAAAAUGUAUCUCAACAUGAAAAUGUCUUUGUUCUUUGAAUCUCAUUGUUCCCUAAUGCUGGACAAACAUGCUAAACACUACCUUUGGAGUGUGUUUCUGGUACCUUUACUCCAUAAGGAAAUAAGCUCCAUAAUUAGGAGAAUACACAUUGAAGUACAUCUGAUCAUAGUGACCCAUAAAUGCUAUAAAACUAUCUAGCUGUUUGGUGAAUUCUCCAGGAAUGUUCAGUUCCAACAUAAAGAUUAUAGUUGAAUAGUAAAUGUCAUCAAGUAUUAAAUUUAAAAAAUUGAAUGGUCAUGUUUGUUAUAUUUGUAGAAUUUAAAAAAUGAACACAUUUUUUCGGAUUCUGGGUCUUUCAGAAGGAAAAUGAGCUCAGCAUAGAACGUUAUACCAUGCAUUAGAUAUAGUGUUUGUACAAGCUUUUAAACAAACUCUUUUCAAUAAUAAUUCUUAUGUGCAUUUUAGUAAUCUAAAAUGUUUAUUGCAGUAGAAUUGGGACAAAACCUAGUGAUCUUUGAUAAGUUUUCUGCAAAUCACCAAGUGAAUGCUCGAAUAAGUAGGACACCUUCAUCUACGAUCCAUCUUUUCUGAUUCACCAAUCAAGUAGUCUAGUUUUUUGUUUCCAUAGAGAGGGAGAGGGACAUUCUCCGGGAUGGGAUCUCAAAAAUCUAUUAUCCAUCUUUUCUAAUUCACCCUCGUGGAGUUUGAAACAGAAAUGGUAUUCUGUUUCGAAAGUUAUAAACAUCCAUCUUCUCCUUUAUAAACAUCACAAUACCUUGAAGAUUUCUUCAAUGAGGACAUCUCAUGCCUCUGUAUCCAAGUGAAGCACAAGUUACAUUUAUUCUUGUUUCUCUAUAUUUGCAUGUUGUUCUGUUUAAGAAUAGAAGUUUUUUGUCUUGCUAAAAUUCUCAUCAUGGUUUACGACAAUCUUGCAAUGGUUAAUACAAUUCUGAUUGUAGUUAACCUUGGAGCUUGAUGCCCAUUGAUCUUUGUUAUUAGUUUCAUUCCUUUUAGCUGCUUCACGCAAUGCUGAAACAAUUAUACCUGUUAAAUGUUUUGACCAUCCUUACUGGUUUUCGUUGUCAUUAACCGUUUUAACCACCAAUAAUAAUUUUUACCAUCAUUAUCUAUUUCAUCACUGUUAGCUGUUUUCACUCACAUCAACAAUUUCCAUGGUUGUUAAGUGUUUUCACCGCCAUUAAUGUUUUCACUGCCAUUUAACAAUUUUCACCAUGGUUAAUGGUUGAACUAAGUUCUCCGUGUGGAUAAUUUGGGAGCUUUAAAGAUCUUCCUGUUAGCUCUUGUUAUAUUGAUUGUUUUAGGUAACUAUUUAGCUUAGAAACUAAUUUCAUUAGCUUUGAAGCUAAGAAAUCCUUCGUUCUGACUUUUGAGAUUACAAAACCAACAAAAUAAGUGAAGAUAGAAUAUUUGCAGUGUGGAACAAGGGUAUGUAUUUGUUAUGUGCAAAAGCCUAAAUGCUUGUAGUGGUGCUUUAUUUGUAUCUGUGCCUAUGCAUCUUACCAAUACGAGCAUGCAUGAGCAAGUAGCCAUGCAUAACUGUGCAUCUGUGUAUGUUUGUGUGUGUGUCUGUUUGUCAGCACUAUUAUUUCUAAAAUGAUUAUGAUAUAGAGUCAAGUUGUUGUUUUGCUUGAGUAAAUAUAAUUACUGCUCCUCUUAUUAAGUGAAUGACAUUGCACCCUUGUACUGUGCGUGAUUCUUCAGCGACAUUAGUAAUUGCUGCAUUGAGGCCGUCGAAGAAAACAUGCAUAUGUUUUGGUAGACCGCAGAGAAUUGAAGGAUCCCAUCUAAUGUCCAAAAACAAGGAGAAGAAUAAGUACAGAUAAGCAAUGUAAAGACAUAAAAUAUGAGUUUAACCUUCAGUAUUAAUUCAUUGUAUUUUGAUUGAGAUAUUUCUUUCUUUACAGAAGAAGAAGAAUUUGUAUUUCACAUUGUCAAAUAGUUAGUCCAAAAAGUGUUUUUCAUGAAGACGGAUAUUGCUACUUUGUAGUUUGUAUGUGCCUGCAACCAUUUUCUGCUCUUCCUAUCCAAAACAUGCAUGAAAUUAUCAAUUGGAUAGGCUGAAAAUCCACACUUAGGCGUCGGUUUUUACAACAUAAACAUGAGGAGAAUCAACAAUUCCCUUUCAACAAUAAACUAUGGCUUUUUAAGUGGUUAUCUACUACAUUUCUAUUCACUUUUGUAUUAGUGUGGUAAAUCUAAAAGGACUAUCUGGUUAUAAUCAAGUAAAGAAUGAGUAAGAUUUUGAUUGGUUUAUUUAUUUAUGAAGUCCCAAUUGCUACUGGAUUUGGAAAUAAAAAAAAAUUCCCACUAAUUUUUUGGUGAGCAACUUGCCAAUUGAUAUGAAUUAAGAUAGAAAUACUAGUUAAAAAUAGUUAUAAAUAUAAUAAUUAAAACAUAGUUAGAAUUUUAUCUAGUACUCUGCUGUAGACAGCCUUAUAUUGAUGAUGCCUGAAUACUAAAUUCCCUAUAAUAUGGGGUAAGCUGCCAACUAUCCAUCCAAUCUACGAGACAAUGGUCGAUCGAGGUCAGCCAUUGUUUCUUGGUAGAAUUUUGGUUAAUUACCAGCAUCUGUUGGUUAAUUACCAGCAUCCGUUGAUAAGCUCAAGGUGGUUUGCCAGUCCGAGGACCCCAAACAACAGUCAUAGAGAGUGUAUAUUCCUAUAUUGAUUAGGAAUAUAGCCAAGUGUUAGUAUAAUGUUGUACCUAUGGAUGGCCUUAGUUAAGAGCCUCAAAUCUUCAGGGCAGUUGCUUUCGAGGUCGUAGAUGUCGUCCAUAAGAGCAGCCAUCAUCCCAAAUUUCGUGUACUCGACCUGGAAAUUUUUGUAUUCUGGUUCAUAUACGGCAGCAGCUACAGUGAAAUAACUCUUCACAACCCCUUGUCUUGCAAAUUCAAUCUUCGUAAAGCCCGCGUCUUCCCACCAACUUCAUCGAAUUGAGAAACAAACAAAUUUAUCAUCAUCAUAGCCUUGUCCCAAUUAAUCGGGGUCAGCUAAACAAACAAAUUAAAACACAAAGUUGUUGCUUUAGGAAUAAACUAGUUGCAUAAUGGAUAGGUUAAGUAAGAACCCAAGAAAAUGUAUGACAUAUAAGUAAGAGGGAUAUAUUUGGAUACUUGUGUUAGGGUGUAUGAGAUAUAAGUAAGAUGGAGAUAUUUGGAUACUUGUGUUAGGGAAUAGAGCCUUAACACUAUGUUCCUAGUUUCCAUUCAACACUAUCACCAAAAGAGAUGAAAAAUCACAAAAUUGGAAUACCUAACUACUUCUUGGAUCUCUUCUGCGUAGAGCUUUUGUAGAGAAUUCAAGUCAAGUCUUGCUAACUCCAAGUACUUGUAAUUGCUCUCAUCACCAGGCCACAAUUGUUCAACAAUGCUUCUAGACUCCAAUCUUGAAAGAAGGUAUUCCCUUGGGUAUGCUAGGGAAAAUUCUAUCUGUUCAAAUUGUAAAGAAAAGCAGAAACAUUGAGAGGAAAACUUAACUGAAGCAACAAAAUAUAUGAUUUAUGCAAGGAAAAUGUUUUGAUAGGGCUGCAGCCCUAUCAAAAUAAAUAAACGUAUUAUUAAAAAUUGCAGUUUUAGCAUCGGAAAACCAUCAAAUCAAUCAUCUCGGCCUUGAUCAUUUUGGUUGUGAAAAAAAAAAGAUUUCAAGCCCUAAAAGUAAUGUAUAUUAUAAUAUAUUAUCUGGACCAUCCAUUUCACUCUAAAAAUAAGUGUCUCGGGAUCCAUAUAAUUUGUACAUGUUUUUAACUUCAAAUUUCAUAAUUGGUGUUGAGAAUUAAUUUUAGAGUCAUCAUGGAGAUUUGUGAUGCCUAAAGUACUUUAUGGACAAAGAUUCAAGGCGAGGCUUUACUUUGUUUUAAUAAAGUUUAGGCCUUAUAGAAGCUUCAUCCUUUAUGUAAUGAGUAAUAAAUGGCCCUUGUUUUAAAGCCUAUGCAAUGAAUGACCCUUUCCUAAGAUGAAAAAGAAGUAUGUCAUUAUAGUGCAUACCCAUCCUUAAAUUCUAGUGGGUUUGGGCUCUAGGCUUUGUUUUUAUGACCCCCAACACAAUAACCAAUGCAACCCUAGAUUACCUCCCAGGAAAAAUAAACCCUCUGCAGAUCUUGAAUUUCUAAGCUAUUCUAUAACAAUGCAUGAGAAAAAAAAAUCUAGAAAACUUCUCCAAAAAAGAAAUCUUUGGCAAAUCUCAAAUUUCUAAGCUAUUCUCUACGUAUUUCUAUAGAACUUCAUUUUUAUUUAUGAGAACUGAUUUUAUUGUGCUUGACAUAGAAUUGAAUUAUCUUAAUUACCUUCUAAAGAGUUAAUAAGAAAAUAUGUAAUAUUUCUCAGGAAAAAACAAAUGCAAUAUUACUAUGUAAUGUUCAACAAGGAAGUUAGGUAUGUAGAUUGCAUUUGUAGCCAAUGGUCCACAUGACUAGCCUAACAUUGUCCUUCCUCAUCUAUAGAUGGUGGAGAUGAGCUUUUUUGCUUUUAAGUGCCGAAGGAGAACAAUGGCAUCAUCUCAACCGUUUACUAAUACGAGUAUAGAGAAUGUAUACUUCGCUCAUGCAUACCCCUUAGGCAAAUGACUGGAGAGUAAGUAUUUUUUUAUCUAAAAACUUGGGAUCCACCGUAGAAUGGAAAAAGCUAACAAAAACUUGACAGCUAUGAUGACUAAUAAUAUAGAUGGAAUGCCUGACGUCAGAUCUUCAUUAGGUAGAUUAAAAUAAAUAUCACUAUUUAAAUUUUAAUCUUAUUUUUAGAAAUUGGAUCGUAAUGAAUAUAAAAAAAAUAGUUUUUAAAAUAUAAAAUGACCAAAAAUUCCUUGAAAAAUGGACGUAACUUUGGUCGUUUUAAAUACUUAAAUGUAUUUUUUUAAUAUUUUUAUAUGGUGCGCAAUAGUAUCAAAUAUAUGUCCAUUAUUCCAUCUUAAUCUUAUUUAUAUAAAAAAAAAGAUUAAAAUUUAGAUAGUGAUACGUAUUUUGAACCACGUGAUGAACAUUUGAUGGCUAGGAUUCUACCUAUAUUACUAUUCAUUAUAACUGCCUAGUGUUUGGAAGCUUUACUCUUGUAGAAUCACAUAUGAGUAUUUUUAAAUAAAUACAAAAUGGCUUUUAAGUCUUUCGACACUUAGAUUAGAUUCCAAUAUAUUUGUCAAUCUAUGUUUAGACCUAGAUCAUUAUUUUUGUGAGGUAGAUGUAGAGUGAAUGCUUUGCUUCUCUAUUUUAAAUUUGUUUUGGAUGAGAGGAGAGAGAGAUACUAAAAAAAUAUAAUUUUUUUAAUUUAAAAAGAAAGGGAGGGAUUAAAGGUGAGAUUUGGAUCGAAAUCUAAUGGUGAUAUGUUGGUGUCCCAUCUUUGUAGGUGUAGGAGGUCCCAUAAGAUCAUUACUCAUAUAUAUAUUCAAUUUUGUAUUUUUAAAUUGUCUACACCUUGGUUUGAGUUCAAGUCACUUAGACCUUACCUAGGUCCAGGUAUAUAUAUUAAAUUUUUUAUUUUUAAAAUUUCUGCACCUUCAUUCAGGUCCCAGUCAUUUGGACUUGACCCUGUCCGGUCCAAUCCAUAUAAAAAUUUUCCCAUAUAUAUAUAUAUGUAUAUAUAUAUAUAUAUUACUAGAUCCAUACCCCAUUCUGUAUAUGAUAUUAUUUUUCAUAUCUGAAAUUUGGAGCAUGCAAUUAUAUUUGUAUUUUUUUUAUAAAAAUAGACCAUUGUUAUUGAUUUGGUUUCUAAGAGGAUGGCUUCAUACCAUUCUCGGGUCUUAUCAUUAUUGGAAGGGUGUAUAUGAUUAUUCAAAUAGAUAUUUGCUACAUAUGGAUGUUUAUCUUUAUGAAUAUCUUCUACUAUUAUAGCAAAUAUAAAAGAGGUUUCUAUGAACCUGAUCUUUUCUCCCCCUGAGGUAUUGGAUAUUUGUAUUAGCUCAGGUGAGAUUGUUAUUUCUUGGGCCUGCCUUCUAACUAAUUGAUUUGGGCUUAUUGGAGAGGUCACUAAGGUUUUACCUGAUACUGGAAUUAUUUCCAUUUUCCCCUUCCCCUUGCUUUCUAUUAUUCUCCUGUCCCUGUCCCCCUUGCAAAAACUCACGGGUUAAAAAGUUACGAAGAUAAUUAGCAUUUCCCUUAAUAUGCUCUAUUUCAAAUUCAAUGGAGGAUAGUAUACCUUGCCAUAUUGCAAAGAUUUGCUUUGAGACAAGGUUCUUGACAUCUUUAUUAAGAAUAUCUUUUGCUGCCUUACAAUCAGUUCGUAUAAGAAAUUUUUGGUUUUAAAAGAUCACUUUGGAAUUUGGUAACACAGUAAACAAUGGCUAGAACUUCCUUUUUAACUGUGUAGUAAUUUUGCUGUGUCUGAUUCCAGGCUCGUGAAGUAAAACGAACUAACUGUUCUUUAUUUGAAAACUUUUGUUUCAAUAUUCGUCCUAAUCCUAUUUAUGAGGCUUUGCAUUCAAUUAUUUUGAAUACAGUAGGAUUUGAGAGUGUAAGACAGGGUAAUUCUCAGGCUUUUAUCUUUUUUUUUCUAACAGCCAAAGUAUGCUCAUUUGUCCACUUUGGUGGAUUCUUUUUUAACCUUUGAAAUAAAGGUUUAGCAUCAAUGGCUAGAUCUUUAUAAAAAUCAGCAAUGUAAUUAAGACAUCCCAAAAAUCUUUGAAGUUUAGUUUUAUCUAAAAUAAUAUCUGGGAAUUUAUCAGAAAACGCAAUUGCCCUACCAAUUGGAAUUAUGCUGCCCUGGAAGAUAUUAUGUGCUAUAAAUCUUAUUUUUGUUUGACAGAGGCUAUUUUUUCUAGCCGAGACUACCAAUCCUGCAGCUUUUAUUGCUUUGAUGAAAACAUUUAUAUGUUUGAAAUGCUGCUCAAUGCUUUCAGAGAAUAUUAGAACAUCAUCUAUAUAAACAAUCAUGAAUUUUAUGUAAGGAUUGAAAAUAUCAUUCAUAAUAUUUUGAAAUUCAGAAGGAGUAUUUUUAAGCCCAAAGGGCAUGACAUUCCACUCAAAUUGUCCAAAAGGGACAUUAAAGGAAGUUUUAUAUUUAUCUUGUUCAGCAAUUUGAAUCUGCCAGUAUCCAGAUUUUAAGUCAAAUUUGGAAAAGAUGCAAGCAUUAACUAAUCUAUCUAGCAAAUCCUUUUUAUUGGGAAUAGGAUAUCUUAUCCAUUUCAAAACUUUAUUAAGAGGUUUAUAAUUUAUUACCAAGCGAGGAGCCCCUCUUUCUUUCUCAGAAGCCUUUUCUACAUAGAAUGCUGAGUAGCUCCAUGGAGAAGAACUUUUCCUGAUAAGCUGUUUCUGUAACAAAUCAUCAAUUUCCCUUUUGCAUAUUUCUAAAAGCCGUGGGUUCAUCUGUAUUGGUCUCGCUUUUGUAGGUAUUUUAUUUUCAUGAAAAUCUGCCUCAUAAGGUAGUGUUACGAUAUGCUUUUUUCUAUUCCAAAAGGCAUUAGGCAAUUCUGCACAUAUUUCUUUUUCUAUCUUGAUUUUAAUAUUUUCAAUUAGGCUUUUGUUUUCUGGAGUUAAGAGCUUAUCUUCAACUAUUUUGUAUUUUAGCUCUUCUUUAAGAUGAUAUAAGAAUUUUUCUCUAUUAGAAAUUGUUUCUUUUAUAUUAUUCACUUCUCGAAUUUUGGGUCUAUCAAUGAAUUCAAAUUUUACAUUGUGGCCGUUUAUAUUGGCUUCAAUUCCUGAACUAUCUAUUUUUAAUGGAUAUAGCAUAUUUAAGAAUGGAGUUCCGAGUAUUACAGACUGGCUAAGUCCUUUUACCAUUAUAAAAGGCAUUUCAAAGCAAUUUACGUUAUUGCAGGCUGCAGUACUGGAAAGCUUAUAAUUUAUAAUUAAUCUACUUUCGUCUACUGUAUUUAAUAUUUGAGUUGUCUUACUGAAAUAUUUUGUAGGGACCGGUCCCUCAUUUAUACAAUUCAGGUCAGCACCUGAGUCUAUUAAUGCUAAAGUUUGGAAACUGUAUUCUUUAUGGACUAUUAUUCUUAUCAGAGUACCAUUUUGUGUAAUUACUUCAUCAAGCAGGUUAACAUAAUUAUCAGUUUGUAUUGUACUAGAGGAUUCUGGUUCCUCUUUAUAAGAGGUGAAGGCUAUUUAUACUUAUUUAAUAUGUCACUAAAAUCUAUAUCUUCAUCAAUAUUAAUAAGACUAUCAUCCUGAGGGAUAGAAGCUAGUUCUAAAAUCUGUAUUCUAUUUUUUUGAUUUAUCACUUCAUUUCGAACAUCAUUUAUUUCCUGCCUUAAAUCAGCUAUCGAUGGUUCUUUAUGAAUAUUAUUUUUAUCUUCUACUCUCCUAAGGAUUUUAGCAAAGUUAUAAUCUUCUUGAUUUCGGACUAGAGGAGGAGGCUUUUUAUUUACUUUUGCUAUAUUUAAGUAUUGUAUUAAGGCUUCUCUUAUAGCCUCAGGGUCAGAUAGCCGACACCUUUUGGUCAUCUCAACUGUGCCACCGACACCUUUUGGUCAUCUCAACUGUGCCACCGACACCUUUUGGUCAUUUCAACUGUGCCACUGACACCUUUUUGUCAUUCAACUGUGCCACUGACACCUUUUUGUCAUCUCAGCUUUUUACUGUUCCGCUGACAUCUUUUGGUCACUUCAGCUGACACCUUUAUGAAGAAGUUUAAUAAUUUUUGAAGUCUGUCGCCUAUUAGAAGAAAGAAGAUGCGAAGUUGAAGGCACCACGAGUGCUCUCCCCCAGUGCCCACAUGUCUCAGGUCUCUCAGCCCUCUCAGAGCUCUCAGCCGUCUUAGCUCUCAGCUCUCUUAGCUUUCAGCUCUCUUAUCUCUCAGCCCUCUUAAGCUCUCGGAUCUCAGCUCUCAGAUAUCUCUCUGGUACUCCACUCUGUUACCUUUUCUUUCUCUGGUAGCUCACUCCAACUCUCUGAUACUGCACCAUCUCUCUGACUACUCUCUGUUAUCUCAGCAAUCUUCUAUAACUCUUUCUGGAACUCUGUUCGUUCUUCUCUUCUCAACUCUCUGCAACACUCUGUUGCUAGCAAAUCUCUGUGCUAAGCCAUCUCUGUGCUCUCAGCCAUCUCUGUGCUCUCCGCCAUCUCUGUGCUCAGCUCCCAGCCAUCUCUGUACUCAGCUAUCUCUCUGCUCUCAGUACUCUCUCUGAGUUUUCAGUUCCCUCUAUCACCUCUCUCUUCAAAUCUUCUUAACCUUCUCUGUUACCUCUCUCUGUAACUUUACUAUUCAUCUCUGUAAUUUUACUAUUUACUGUUAUCCUCUGUUACACUUUGUAACUUCAUAUUUCUUUUACUGUAUAUCGGGUGGUGUACCUAACCACACCGAGCUUUCUUUUAAGAGUGAUUGUGAGGAUUGUUAAUGUGUUAUUGUAACCUUAACAGUCUACCGAGCUACGGCGCAAAAGAGUGGAAGAUAUUCUCGAGUUACUGCAAGUGUCUUAUAUGAGUUUCUUUUUAUUAUGCAAGUUAAAUUGAUAUUUUGUUUUAAAAUUUAGAAAUACUACUUAUAUAAAUUGGUUUGUUAUUGAUGUAUCAUCUCUUUUAUGUGUUGUCUGUCUAAUACUGUUUCUUCUUAUGAGAUUUGUGUACUAUUGAUAAAUUUCUUGAAAAUAAUUGUUGAAAAUAAUUGCUAAAAUAGAUCUUGGUUGUUUUGGUAUCAGAGCCAAUAGUUUUACAGUGGUGAACUGUAGUCUAGGUACUAUUCUAGAGGUUAAGAACUUAAUAAAAUUUUCUAUUCAGACAAUCAGAGUUUGAAACUAAACGUCGUCGUGACCCGCACUACUAAAAAAAGGCUAGGAAGAGUCGUGAAAAAGGUACAGGGACUGUUUUCGACUGACUCAGUAUUCAAUCAUUGUACUGAAAUGGCAAAUUUUAUUAGGACUCUAUCCAAUAGAACAACAUCUUUGUCUAAUAGUACACUACGAGUAAAAAAUAAGGAAGAAAUAACCAUAGAUAAUAUAGAAAGACAUACAAAAUUGGAAUAUUCUUAAAGUACCCCUAAUACAAAACAGUAGAACAAAGUAUAUCUAUUACAAAUGAGCAAGAAAGUUUCCAACUACUGUCUAAUAGAAUGAUUCAAAAUCAUAAAUCUAAAGAAUAUAAAUAUUUACAUAUAGGUCUUAUACAGAUUAUCAUUAAACCUUUAACCCGACUAGGUUUAAAUAAUUCUGUUUUGUUAUGUCUAGGAGAUGACCGCCAUAAUAAAUUCUCAGACUGCCUUUUAGGAAUAAUAGAGUCCAGUCUUUGUAAUGGACUUUUAUACUUUAACUGCUUUCCAAACUUCUCAGUUUCAUUAGCAGAUCCUAACCUAUUAAAAGUUCUCACUUUGAAUAUAAAAACCCAAGGGUUUGAUAUGAACCCUGGAUCACAAAAUUUUGCAGUAGUAUAUAGAAUAUGUUAUAAAGAUAUGAACACUUUAUGUCCAAAUACUCUGCAGAUGGAUACUAAAGAACAGACAAUAUUUGUCCAGACAAAUAUAGAGAAAUCUAAUACAGUCAUACCCAAAUCCAUAAGCUGGUCCCAAAUAAAUCUUCCAGAAAAUUGGUCCUUACAUUGUGAGAACCAACAAUCCAGAGUCCCAAUCAAUAGAGAACCAGACCAGAUUAUUGAGUAUCCUGAUAGAGACAUAGAAAUACAAUUUAAUUCUAAUAGACAUACUAGAAUAAAUCUGUCAGAGGAAUCUAUACGAGCACCUUCCAAAAUCUCUAUACCUUCUAGACAUUUUACCUCGUCCAUACCACAAAGACCCAUAUUAGAUGUCCGGAAUCUAUAUACCUUCUAGAUAUUCUACCUCGUCCAUACCACAAAGACCAACAUUAGAUGGAUUGUCUUGAACAAAUAGUAAUAUCCAAAGACCGGUUUAUAGGGUAUAUGAACCUAGCUCAUCUGAUAAUGAACUUACACCUUCGGAUUUGGAUUUUAAUAUCCUCACCCUGCAAAAAGAGGAAAAGUUUAAAAUUGAUAUAGAAGGGAUUAAGAAUGAUUUCCUAUCUGAAGAAAAUAAAGAAAAACGAGACUGGUAACUGAAUGAAUUCCCUCAAGAAUUACUAGAUGCCUUUCAUAAAAGAUUUAAUAAAUUUAUAAAGUAAAACAAACAGAAUAUAGGAUUCUUUGUUUGGUUAAGACAUACUCUGAAAGAAAAGGAUAUACUUAUCCCAGACUUUGGACUUAAUACUAUAGAAAACCAAUACCAGACCUUUUUUAUACUAAUGAAGGAGAAGAUAUACAAAGCAUUCACCCUACUGAAAAAAGUCUCCAGGUAAAAGGGGCAUUGAAAGAAAAGCCUGAGACAAAAACCUCUUCUUAUAAAAUAAUUCCAAAAGAAACGGAGAAUCAUACUCAUAAAAUAGAUGUUAUACCUCAUAUAAUUGAACAAAAUAACUAUACAAAUCUUUGUUUACAGUCUAUCGGAAAAUAAACGACCAGAAUAGAGAAUAUGAUUAACAAACCCCAAAGUACACCUCUAAAUAACCUUGAAACAAAGCAAAAACUCUAUUGUUUAAACCUCCUCCAGAACUCAGUAAAGAACAAUUCAACCUACAAGGAAUAAAAAAGAAAGUNNNNNNNNNNNNNNNNNNNNNNNNNNNNNNNNNNNNNNNNNNNNNNNNNNNNNNNNNNNNNNNNNNNNNNNNNNNNNNNNNNNNNNNNNNNNNNNNNNNNNNNNNNNNNNNNNNNNNNNNNNNNNNNNNNNNNNNNNNNNNNNNNNNNNNNNNNNNNNNNNNNNNNNNNNNNNNNNNNNNNNNNNNNNNNNNNNNNNNNNNNNNNNNNNNNNNNNNNNNNNNNNNNNNNNNNNNNNNNNNNNNNNNNNNNNNNNNNNNNNNNNNNNNNNNNNNNNNNAGCCCUAAAUGACUCGUGUUUAGGGUGUGAGUGUAUGUGGUGCAUAGAAAGCCUGUAACAUGAGAGAAUGUGUUGGGUCUUGGCGGUAGUGUAGCUGAGUCCCAUGAUGAGGUUUUUGACUACAUUCUCACUAAAAGUAAAGUCCCAAAAGUCUGAAAAAUCCCCUUUAACUUACCACUUUUACUUAACCAAAAAAACGACUGUAUCAUGACACUAAGAAGCAUGACUUAGCUGCCAAAAGGCGCAUGGCUUAGCUAUACCAAAUACCUCAACGACCAUUCCAAGGAAAUAUGUCAUACAUAUCCUAUUUGGCUUGCCUGCCUUCAUUACCUAGUGCUCUAUUUAUUUAUUUUUUGUGAAAACUACAUGGAGACCAACCCCACCCGGUCAGCUUUCUCUCUUUUUUUUUAAAUUAUUAUUAUUAUUAUUAUUAUUAUUAUUAUUAUUAUUUAGAAUUUCCCCUUGAACUUUCUAUUAUCGGAUAAGGGGAAAUUCUGCAAUUUUUCAAAUUUUCUUUUAUUUAAGGUGUGUCUAAUAUUAGAAACAUCGAAAAACAUUAUGUAUUGCACUUCUCAAUUUUUAUAAUGUAUGACAACCCAAAAGUCUAAGCUCCUAGGGUGUCUAAUGUUGUCAGCAUUGAACCGUCUAAAUCUAUUUAUUUAUUGAAAAAAGUUUAUAUAAGGAUGCAACCUUAUAUAAGAUAGUUUUAAUGUUGAAAAACCAUUUGAUUGAUCAUCUCGACAUCGAGAUGUAUGACCAUGAAAAAUAAAAAGAAUUUAAGUCUCAUAAGUAGUGCAUUUUAUAAUAAAUUAUCUGCACCGUCCAUUUCAAGAUUUUCAUAUAUUUAUAGAUCUACUUCAUUUUAACCAUUUUUUAAAUUUAAAAUUUUAUAUUUAGUUAUAAAAAUAGAUUUUGAGAUAAUCCUAAGAAUAUUUUACAUCAAAAUUAUAUACCAUGAUAAAAUUUGAAAGUGCACCUUACUUCUACAGCUACGGAUCCAUCCGUAUGCCAACUGCACCCUUAUUUAUUUAUUAAGCAGUCUGGUAUUUGCAAUAUUAAAUAGGCUCGAUUCAUGGCUUCAAAAUUUCACCUGUCCUUUCUCCAUGUCAUUUUUCCUCACUCACUCUCUCUCUAUCGCAUAAAAUUUACAAAAAUAUGGAAAUUUUCUAUUUUCGAGCAAGCUCAAAGUCAAACUACUAGCCUCAAUGUGUUUAAAGGAAUUGUAUCCCAUGAGAUCAUUUAUUUUUGGAGAUUAUAUAGACUCAAGGUUCUUAACGAUCAAAUUAGAACCCACAUCAAAAAUUUCACUAGAAGAGGUUGUCUUGAUGCCCAAAUAUUCUCAAAUUGAUCAUCUCAACAUCAAGAUACAUGAACAUAAGAAAAAAAUGGACUUCAAGUCUUGCAUGGAUUUCAAUUUUCAAGAUCUUCAUGUUUUCAUAGAUCUACUCGAGUUACACUAUUUAUUAAGCUUCAAAUUUUAUAAUUAAAGAUGAAAAUAUAUUUUAAAGCUAUCACAAAGAUUUCUAGUAUUGAGACCACAUCCUUUAUUUUUUGUAUGAAAAAGUCAUUGAAACUACAUCCUUUAUUUUUUGUACGAAAAAGUCAUAAUCACUUUGAACCAUUAGAUGUGAAAUCCAAUUGUCACAACAUUCGAGAAAUUUUGCAACACAUCCUCAACUACCCUAUUUAAAAAAGAGUAAAUGACAAUUGCCUUGUAUCAAAAAGUAAAUAGUUUCCUUGUAUACAUUUUGGCGUAUAAAACACUUCCAUUUACAAGUGAAAAUUACAUUGAAGAGAGAGAAAAAGGGAUUAUACUCACAUGGUCAAGUAGAAUAGGCAUUUGAUCAAAGAAUAUUGAAGCUGAACAAUUAGGGAAAGUUCCAGUUGUAGGGCUCCACAAACAAAGGGUUACAAGCUGAAUUAUUUGGAGUAGGCAUUCAUGGCCAAAUGUAAAUUCGCAAACAUCAUCCGUUAUAUAUAUAUAUAUGAAAAAAUCUUAAGUAUAAGCAAUUUUGAGUAGUGUUUCACCUCGCUUCGGACUUGCUAUGUCUGUGGUGAUUUAUUGAAUGGAGCUGCAAUAGACGGUGCGUGGUCCGUGGUGUUUCCAAGUGUUUUGUUACCGCCACAGACCUGCUAGGUCUGUGGCAGUCUUUAAUCCUCGCCUUCCGAUUUUAAGGUAUAUAUAUAUAUAUAUAUAUAUAUAUAUAUUUCACUCCAAACAAUGACUUAAGUGCACAAGGCAGAGUGAGAAAGGUUAAAAAGAUACUCACAUGUUCAUCCUGCAAUGGAGGCUGAAGCCGCACCUGAACAGUGGGCUUAAAGCAUUGUAGCCUCAGUUUAGCACUCAAAUGAAAAGCAGCAUUAGGAGAAGAGAUGAUUGAGAAAGGGUGAGGAAAGUAGAGAGGAGGAGAGAAGAGAGAGAAAUUAGGGCGAGAAGGAAGAGAGGAGAAAGGCAACUUCACCGCAUGCAUCAUUUCCUUGAACAUAUUCUCAACACCAAUUCCCCUUCUUAUACACGUACAUCCCCACAUGGCUACAUGCAGGAGCAUGUGGGGAGCAUUUCUACUAUGUACUCCCUCGGGUCCACCUAAUGUAGGAGUAUUCUUGAAGGCUCAAAUUUUGAGGAUGCAAUGUGGACAACUAUCCACUGACAAGCUGUUUGGAAAUAAAAUAAAACUUACUAGAAACAAAUAUAUAAUGACAUAAGUUGUUAGGAAACACACCAAAAUACUGAUAUUUCUUUCUUGACAAGAAACCUAGCAUGUGCUUGGCGAGAAACCUAGCAUGUGCUUGGCGAGUGGAGAACGUAGGAAUUUGGAUAAAAUUCUUUGUCUAUGUGGAGAUCAAGAGACCUUUUCUUUCUUUCAAUUAUAACUACUUGCUCUCUCAUGACCAUAUUUGUCGAGCAACAAAGCUACUAUCCAGAAAUAAAAUAAUGUACAAAUUUACUAAUAUGCACAUCAUAUAAUAAUUUCUUAAUUUAGAUGUAAAUAUUUUUCUUCAUAAUUUAGGUGGGAGGGCAAUGUUAUUGGUGCCAUGUAUCAAGUUUCCCCGUGGUUUAUUUACAUAAUCCAAAAUUAUAUUGCUUUCAGGUUUGUUGGGUGUGCUUGUAAAUGAAAUAUAUAGUCCUAUGUGAACCGUACUAAGCAAACGAUGUUUGCUGAUACUGAACUGUGUUUAACGUGUUAGGCCAGUCUAGUUAGGGAAAACCAAUGUUAUCUGGGCAUAGAGAAACAAACCGAUGAGGGUUAGAUGGGUUAUUCCUUGAUGAGAUCGGAGUAUGCCUAGAAGAGUGAGCCGAGGGACUGUGUGACCUUUAUGUGUGAUGGAAGUCUUCAGAGAUAAGGCGAAAACCUCAUCAUUUGUACCAUCACACUACAUCCACAUUGAUAGUCAUUUUUAGUAAAGCGAACCACCAUUCAUGGUGAAGCAUGUGCAUGUGCGAGAGAUACCCCACUAUGUACUAUCGAGCAAUGGAUUGCAUCAGGUCAAGAUGAUAUUGGAUUCGUAUCUAGAGGAGACUUGAAAUCCAUAUCAUAGGACUGCGACCUCUUGUCCAUUGGCUAGACUUUGGUGACCCACUAAUGAUCGUUUACAUGGACUAUUGGUCAUGGGCAAUACUUCAAUUUGGGAAAGCCUGUGUGGUUCGUAGUUUACACUCGGACAUGGAGUGCCCCAGUGGAUAUUUAUUCUUAGACUAUAUGGAUCAUUUUCUUAUUUUAAUAAUAUAUGAUUUUUAGAAUUGCUAUUUGAAUUUUUUAAAACAUAGAUAUUAAUUUUAUAAUAAUUUAACUAUUCAAAUAAUAAUUUUAUAUUUUUCUAAAAAUAAAUAAUAAUAUAAUUACAUGGGAGGCUCAAUAGGACACUUUUUAUUUUUUGUAAUCAAGCUCUCAAGCUUGAGAGAUGGGUUUGUGUUGUUUUAAGAAAACGUAAGUCUUGAGGAAAUUUUAAAUGAUAUUUUGGUAUGUAUGAGAAGGCUUAUGCAUAAAAUAAGAAAGGAUAAUAUUAUCAUAUAUUAAUUUUUUAUUUGAAUUAAUUGAUGAGAAAAUAGUUUAGGAAGUGGGGGAUAAUGGUUCUAGCACCUUCUAUAGGAUGUUGAUAGCCCAUUUAUAGAAUGGAGAGCUCAUAUCUCUCACUCUACAAGUCACCCAAGAUCAAUGAUGCAUAUUCAUUCUCACAUGUGGCAAGCCAAGAAAAACCCUAGGAAACCCUAAUCUUGUUCAAGCAUUAUAAAAAAGGUUGUCCCCUACCCAAAUCUUUACACCACAACUUUCCGUCUCUCUCUCACCCACAAAGGGCAGUACACCCACUCUCUUAGAAUCUCUCUCUCUCUCUCUCUCUCACGAAAGGUCUAAGGCGAAAGGUCUAAGGGGCACGUCCCACUCUCUACUCAUCUCUUGAGUUUCCCUCUUGCUCCCAUGGUGUUUCUCUAAUCUCUCAUCUUGAGGUUAAGUCUAUAGGGUUGUGGUAAAAAGAGAAACAUAUCUCUCAAACUAGGUUAUCAAAAGGGGGUUCACUUAAGAGUUUGAGUUUUGUGAUAAAAAAGGUUCAUGUUUUAUAGGGGGGUGGGGGGAUGAGUAGCACAGCCUACCAAGGACACUUUUUAUUUUUUGUAAUCAAGCUCUAAAGCUUGAGAGAAAGGUUUGUGUUGUUUUAAGAAAGUUUUAAUCUUGAGGAACUUUUAAAUGAUAUUUUGGUAUGUAUGAGAAAGUUUACGCAUAAAAUAAGAAAGGAUAAUAUUAUCAUAUAUUAAUUUAUUAUUUGAAUUAAUUGAUGAAAAAUAGUUUAGAAAGUGGGGAAUAAUGGUUCUAGCACCUUCUAUAGGAUAUUGAUAACCGAUCUAUAUAAUUGAGAGCUUAUAUCUCUCACCCUAUAAGUCACCCAAGAUCAAUGAUGCAUAUUCAACCUCACAUGAGUGACAAGCCAAAAAAAACCCUAAGAAAAUCUAAUCUUGUUCAACCAUUAUAAAAAGAGGUUGUCCCCUACCCAAAUCUUUACACCACUACUUUCCAUCUAUCUCUCACCCACAAAGCGGGGUACACCCCAAUCUCUUAGAAUCUCUCUCUUUCUCUCUUAAGAAAGUUUCUCUCUCAUGAAAGGUCUAAGGGCAUGCCCACUCUCUACUCAUCUCUUGAGUUUCUCUCUUGCUCCCAUGGUGUUUUUCUCAUCUCUCAUCUUGGGGUUAAGUCUAUCGGGUUAUGGAAGAAAGAGAAGCAUCUCUCACAAACUAUGUUAUUAAAAGGGAGUUCACCUAAGGGUUUAAGUUUCUAGAUCAAAUGGGUUCAUGUUCCAUUGGUGUGGCUUGUCGAAACUUAUUUUUUUGGUUGAGAUUGAAGGUUGACCAUUAGAUCUCGAGCCGUCAAAAGGUGGUGACCCUGUGUCGGGUGUAAGAAGCUCGGUUGAGGUAAUCUCCGACACCCUCUUUUGUUUCUUGCUUAUGUGUUUAUUGCUUUCUUAAUUUCCAAGUAUAAGUUGUGUCUUUUCUUUGUUAAUGGAAAGAGUGGUUUUGAAUGCAUCAAGUUCUUGAGAUCCUAGUUGUAUUCUUUCCUUUAUUUCAUUUGAAUUUGUUUUAUUGUAAAAGGUCUAUUCGUAAGUAAUCUAAGCUAAGCAGAAAAAAUAAAAAGAGUUGAAAAAGAAGAAUAUAUAUAUAUAUAUAUACUCGAGCAUUAUAAACUCUUAGACUUACUUGUGAAAAUAUUUUAUCUUUAAUCUGCAUUAUGUGCUUUAUAUAUAUAUAUACUCCGGCUAGAUCACACUAGUUUUUCUUUCAAAGUUGACACCUUAUAUAACAUUUUUUCUGUUAUUAUUUGUUGCAUUUUAUUUUAGUCAUAUAGAUUAAAUAAGUAGAACAUUUAUGCUAAAGUGACAAAAAUAACAUAGAUGAAAAAUUGCAUGAGAUCAAGACUACAUGAUCAUAUCUCUAUCUCCAAUGAGAAUCAAAUACAUAAAGAUAAGAAUUAAAUCCCAUAUUCUAAAUUGGCAAAUUUACAAAUUAAUAUUUGCAUCUCGUAAUUUCAGUUAACAGAAAAAUAUUUACUAAGAAAAAUCAUUAUUGAAAAUUUUAGCAAGUAUGGUAUCUUUGCAUAUGCACAAUGAAAGAAUACAUUCUCAACUUGUUUCAAUUUUCUAGGCAACUCUUUUAAUUUUCAAUAUUUCAUCGCAACUUUGGCAUAAAAAUAAUUUAUGUCAACUUAAAAUAAAAUUUGAAAACUAAAUUGUCUCUCAUGCAUUGCCUAGGUGGCAAGCCAGUAAAAAAUCAAGGGGAAAUAUCUUAGGCUUAAAACAUGAAUAGGGAAUAUCUUUCUAUUUCGAAGUUUUUAGAUUCAUGUGAAUUUAUAUAAAUUUCACCCAUGACUCAUUAUCAUCCAAACUUCAUCGGAUGGCCACAACCAUCUGAUAAUGUUUGAAUAUUAAUUUUUUUUCGACAAAUCAGGAUUAUCUGAAUUUUCGAGUGUGUCUAUAUCUAACCAUCUCGAAAAAAACUAAAAUAUUUUUAAAAAAAAGUAUAGAAAAAAAUAGAAAAACAAAAAAUCCUUGAAAUAUUCAUUGAGGUAAUAUGGUCAAUUUUACUAUUCCUAUUUUUUUUUAUAUAUUUUAUUAGGCGUGUCCCAGUGAUGCGCACGUACGUUAAAAAUUUGAGGUUAAUUUAAUUUUUAUUAAUUUAUAAAAAUUUAAAUAUUAUUAGACUAAUAUAAUUGUGAUGAGAUAUGAAAAUACUAUAAAAAUUAACACAUGAACUUUUCUCCUUAUUUUCGUAAGUGCAAAUAGUCCAUUUGGUAUUUUAUCUCAAACCACUUGGCACCGCCUCUUUGUCCGAACAUGGCAAAGGCUACGAUGCAUGUACUUAACAGAGACGCAAUAAAACCUGAAAGAGUAUGACACAUUUACUAAUGAGAAGCUGCAAAACCUGGGGCUGUAUAUACAUUUGUCAAAUAAAUGAAGAUAAUAGGUACAAUUGUUGGCAUAAAAACGUUAUUGUACAUAUAAAAUCUCAUUUUACAUCGUAUACCAACGUCCAUUUCACUUCUGAGUGAGAGAGAGAAAGAGAGAGAGAUGACAGAUUUUUCCUCAGAGGGAGUAAUAGAGAUGAAGAUCGAUUCAUUACUUAGUUAUAGAGCGUGAGGCUACCAUUUUAUCUUUGAGAGAAAAUAAACUAGGAUUGAAAUAAGGAAAAUUAUUAGAAAUAUAUCUUAAAUUUUGUUUAAUUGGAAAAAAAAUCUCAAUUUUUAUAAACUUUUUCCACACUUUUUUUUUUUUUGUCAAUUUUGGUAUUUUUUUUAUCAAAAUAUCUUUCACGAUAAUCGUAUUACCGUGAAGGCUCUAUCUUGAUGGUACUUAACAUGAUGUAAUACCUGGUCAUUACGGUAAUAUGACUACCGUGAAAGUUAUUUUAGUAAAAAAAAUUAUCAAAAUUGAGGAAAAAAUGUGUGGAUGAAGUUUAUGAGAGUUGAGGGUCUUUCUUUCCAAUUAGACAAAAAUUAAAGUAUAUUUAUAAUAAUUUCCUUUAAAAUAACUAACAGCUUGCUGCAUGGUUUAUGAAUGGGCAUGUCAGAUGAUAGAUAUUGGGCUUGGGGACCCAAAUAAGGUAAUCCUUAUCCGUGCACUAAUAUGAGACUUUAUCAACAUGUGUUUGAGCAUAGUAAAUGAUUGCAAAAGAAAAUCAAUACAAUACUGGAGUAUAUAUGUAAACCAUGAGAGAAUCCAGUUGAUACAUGGCACCAAUACUUUUAACAAUGUUAGAUUCAUGUAAUCGACUCCAAAUAAUUAGAAAAAGACUUUGAUGAUGAUAUCUAAAUGAAAAAUAUUAUAUAGAGGCGAGGCUCUAAACAAUCAAAUAAGAGCCCACCACAAAAAUUUCACUAGAAGAGGUUACUUUGAUACCCAAAUAUCCUCAAAUUGAUCAUCUCGACGACAAGAUUGGAAAUACUACAUCUUGUAACAUAUUUUUGGACUUUUAAUUUUCAAGAUAUUCAAGUUUUCAUAAAUCUGCUCAAUCUACUCUAUUUUUUACGCUUUAAAUUUUGUAGUUAAAGAUGAAAAUAUAUUUUAAGGCUUUCACAAAGAUUUGCAACAUUGAAACCAUAUUUCUCAACACUAUUUGAAGGUGCACUUUAUUUUGAUUGUUUAGAGCCUCGGCUAUAUACAAACCACACUCAUAUAUAUGGGAUUGUCUACAAAGAGACUUUUUAUCUUUUGUACACUGAGGUCACAUUAGAUGUCAAAUUGGAUGGCUUGAGGUGAGUCAGGAAGUCCGAGAUUUUUUUUUUUUUGGGAACUUUGUCUCUAUUCAAUCACAUUCUUAUAACCAACCAUUUUGAAAUUUUAAGGGACAAGAAUGAUUGUGAUCUCUAUAUACAACAGAUAAAUAACAUCUUUGUAGACACUCUUAUAAUUUUUUUAGGGCAAUUAUAUGAGAGGACAUUUGAAUAGUGAUUAUAAGUUGCUCAUGCUAAUAUGUAUUAUUUUAAGGUUGUGCAAAUGCCUAUUAGAAGAGAUAAAUAUAUGCUAUUAUAGAUUAUUUCUGGGUUGCGUAGAUGUCUAUUAGAAAAGAUAAAUACAUAAAACUUCCAAAAAUAAACCCCAACUAUUUUAUGUACAUAAAUAUACAUGCGUACGUUUCCAAAUAUAAAGGUAAAAGAGAGAGAGGUAGACCAUCUUCUCUCUCUUUAUUCUAUAAAAAAAUAACCCAAGAGAUUAAACCUCAUGCAUUUUGUUGUUUUAUUUCCUCAAUCAAGCUCACCAUGAUUGGAUACAAGUUAGAACAAAUGUCAAUCCCAUUUUAAAAGGGAUUUUUCGGGGUGGUGAUUUUAGUGUCGGAGACUUCAACAUAGAUGCACUCCCCAAACUUCAUGAGAGAAGAUGGAAGUAUAGUGGAACCAUAAUCUUUCUAGAAUUUAGAUUUAUAUUGAACCAUCAAGAAGCAACAUUAUCAUGUAUAAUAUCCAUCGGCCAUCAAAGAGGAGGGUCAUUAUUUCUUAACAAGUUGGUGGGCUUGAAUGGGCUCGCAAGGAGCUGGGCAGCCCACAAGGAGGCAGGUUGAUUAUAUAAUGGAAAACGUUUAUAUAAGGAUACAACCUUAUAAUGUAGAACUACGGACGCACCUCAAAAAUCUAUCGAAAAAGGUAGUUUUAAUGUUGAAAAAUCUUUUGAUUGAUCGUCUCCACAUCGAGAUGUAUGACCAUGAAAAAUAAAAAGAUUUUAAGUCUCAGAAAUAGUGCAUUUUACAACAUAUUAUCUACACCGUCCAUUUUCAAGAUUUUCAUAUGUUUAUAGAUCUACUUCAUUUUAACCAUUUUUUAAAUUUAAAAUUUUAUAAUUAGAUAUAAAAAUAGAUUUUAAUAUAAUCCUAAAAACAUUUUACAUCAAAAUUAUAUACCAUGAUAAAAUUUGAAGGUGCACUUUACCUCUACAGCUACGGAUGCAUCCGUAUGCCAACUGCACCCUUAUAUAAUUGUCCCAAUCAAACUUGAAAAUAAAAUAAAACUACCACAAAUAAAUAGAUAAUGACAUAAGUUGUUUUGGAAACACACCAAAAUAGUGAUGCUACUUUAUUGACAUGAGAGUUCCCCUUUAAACUGAAGAAACCCUAGCAUGUGCUUGGUGAGUGGAGAAGACAAAAAUCUGUGAUCAUCGGACCUUGUCUUUCUUUCAAAAGGAAGCUGAGUAAUCUUCUCCCUCUGGGGCUGGCUAGGUUUGAGAAAAAUAGGCAAAAGUAAUAAGACCAUUAGCCCUGUCUCCAACUACUUGCUCUCUCAUGACCAUAUUUGUUGAGCAACAUGGAUAUUAUCCAGAAAUAAAAUAAUUUAUAAAUUUACUAAUAUGCCCAUCAUAUAAUAAUGGAAAAAGUUUACAUAAGGUUGCAACCUUAAAAUGUAGAAUUACAGAUGCACCUCAAAAAUUCUAUCGGAAAUGUUGUUUUAAUGUUAAAAUAACCUUCUAAUUGAUCAUCUCAACAUCGAGAUGUAUGAAUAUAUAAAAACAAAAGGUUUUUGAGUCCCUGAAAUAGUGUAUCUUGCAAUACAUUAUCUAGACCGUCCAUUUUCAAAAUUUUCGUAUUUUUAUAGAUCUAUUUUAUUUUAACCCUUUUUUUUAUUUUAAAAUUUUCUAAUUAGGUAUGAAAAUAGAUUUUUAGAAAAUCUUAAGAUUUUUUUACAGCAAAAUAACGUGCUAAGACAAAAUUUGGAGGUGAGCCUUAAUUGGAUUGUUUAAGGUUGCAACCUUAUGGAAAAGGCACCCAUUGCAUAUUGUGUAUUCGUAGUUAUUAUAUCUCCUUGUUUUUUUAUUUUUAUUUUUUUUACUUUGGUUUAGGAGUUUAGCCGCAAAGUUUUUUAAUUUCUUAGCAAUUCUUUGUUUGCAAGACAAACUCUAAAAACAUUUUAAAAAAAUGCAAAAUAAAAAGUAAUGACAACAGCUUCUGUCAUUCAACUCCAUCCAUGCCAUGUCAAACGAGUCAUGACUGUACUCGGCUGGGUUAGUUGAGUCCAUUAAAAUUGUUCGAGGAGAGUUGCUCUAUUUUAUCCAACUUGAGACUAAUUAACGUAGGCGAUUGUCUUUGCAAAAUAUGAUCCAUUUUUAUUUUAAUUUAUUCCACCUUUUAUUUGAUUACAAAAGAUUUGUAGAUGGUUCUAAGUCCAUAAAAUAAAAAUUUUCGACAAUGUACAAAAAAAAAAAAAGGGCAUGUGACUAGUUUGACAGAAGAUUUUUGACGAAACAAAGGGCCCCUUUGGCCUGGUCAAAGAUGGGCGCAACCCGAGUGGGGUCUGUCCAAAAGAGACUAGGCUGGGCUCGGGUCAGGAUUCACAGGCCUAGCCUCUUGCCAGCGUAUUUACAUAAUUUGUAGUCCGAGGCAUGAAGAAAGUAAGUCUUUUUUACUUUGUGCAAUGGCAGAUUAGAUGUUACAUAAUCAGUGUGUGUGUUUUUACUUUGUGCAAUGCACAUGCCAUUUGUAGAGAGAAGCUAAUUUUAGAUUUGAAGAACUUUGUAAGGGUUUAGCUAGUUCCAUAGAAUUCGAACAUUCUAAUUAACUAUACACCUCUCUCUCAAAGGAUUAUCAUGCAUAAUUCUAAGAUUUAUUUACCAUUUAUGUAAUCAGAUUCUACAUCAUUAAAGCACCAUUUAUGAACUAAUACACCACACAAUAUAGCCAUAUUAAGCAAGUGGCUUAUAGAGAAAAUCCAUCAGUAGCUGCUCCAAUCCUGGAUCGGACAUGCUGCUAAAGCCAUCCGAGUUCUUGUAAAUGAGAGCCAUGGUUCUUCCAAAGUUUAUAAGUGCACGAAGAACCGAGUCAGGCACAACUCCUUUCAACUCAAACAGUUGCCACUCCAAUUCUCGAUUGCUGGAUUCGAUCAAACCCUGCAAAUGAGCCAUGGCUUCGGCCUUGGUGCUCCCGGGGUAAUCUUUCAUGAAGCAUCCAAUGCUUGAUGCCAUCAUGCCUAAACGCUCUUCCCUCUCUGAGGUGACAAUGUCAUUGCUAAGUCGGCUAAUGAGUCCAAUGUGAUAGAGAAAUCUUGAGCAUUGACCCACCAACCGUAGCAUCUCGUCGGAAAUGACUUCUCCUAUGAUGAAUAUCGGACUCAAGGCAGUGACGCUGGUAGAAACGCUAAGGUUAGCCACCAUUUGAUACUCCUCCAAGGAGGGUAUGCACCCUGAAUGCCUCCAUUCUGCUUCCUUUCCA